AUGAAGGAGUCGCACCGGCAAGGCCGCGGCCGCCGUGGCUCGCAGCUCGGCGACGAUGACUUGCCUUCGUCUGCCUACGACACGCCGCCGCGCCGCCAGGAGGACUCGGACGGUGACGAUUCCGACGAAGCAACAGCAGAAGACGAACGCGACGGAGGCGCGGAAGAAGGCGACCGCCUGGGCCAGUGGCAGGUCGGCUCCAUGCCUUCCAAGUUCCACCUGAACCAGCUUUCCGUGCAGGUAACUUCGCUAGCUUCCAUCGUAUCUUGGAUCUGUGAAGGUCUCCGUGCUCACAACCUGUUCGACGAAAUGACGAUGUGUUGUGCUUUUGUGGCCAGUCGCCAAAAGGGGACAUCAGCUACCCUGCUGUCAAUUUCGCUAACUCUUUGGCCGCAUACUGAGUGGCUUCGCACUGAUACGAGACGAACAGCAGUGGGCUUAGACUUUGACCGUGAGUCACUUGAGUGGUGUCUUGAGAACAACCUGAGCAAGAUUGGAGCUGAUGGGUAUUUGAGGUUGUUGCUUUUUGAUGGAAAUAUUCUGCAGCCAAAUGAAUCUCGCCUUGUCAAGCAAAAGAUCAGUGAUCUCGUGCAAGGUCUAAAUUUUACCAGUGAUGAUGGCUCUACUGAAACGAACAGCUGCGAGCAGUCAGAUUCUUCAUUUACGAAAUGUGAAGCCAAUUCGACCAUGUCAGAUGCAAUUUUGCCUGGAAGAGACAUAAUUUGUGCAUUCAACUACAGUUGUUGUUGCCUUCACAAGAGAAAGGACUUGGUUUUGUAUUUCAGGCAUGCUUUCAAUGCACUUUCUGAAAGAGGCGGUACAUUUGUAAUGGAUGUAUAUGGUGGCACGUCAUCUGAAUGCAAGCUUCGUUUCCAGAGGAGAUUCCCCAGCUUCACUUAUUUCUGGGAGCAAGAAGAGUUUGACAUCAUAACUCGUGAAACAAGGAUCAGCCUCCACUUUCAAGUUGGAAAGAAGCAAAUGAUACGGCAUGCUUUCACGUACCAUUGGCGCCUGUGGUCGAUACCGGAAAUCAAGGACUGCCUGGAGGAAGCAGGAUUUAAGUCCAUCCACGUCUGGUUCAGGGAGAUGCCAGACACCAAAUCAAGCGGAAACGCCAGGGAGUACACUGCCGACCGCGACGUGAAGUACGAGGAGCUCCAGCGUUUCAACCAGGCAGACCUUGGAACGCGUACAUAG
rnacentral:rRNA from 1 species